CUGACCCUACGGGAGGCAGCAGUGAGGAAUAUUGGUCAAUGGGCGCGAGUCUGAACCAGCCAAGUAGCGUGAAGGAUGACUGCCCUAUGGGUUGUAAACUUCUUUUAUAAAGGAAUAAAACGAGGCACGUGUGCCCUUUUGCAUGUACUUUAUGAAUAAGGAUCGGCUAACCCCGUGCCAGCAGCCGCGGUAAUACGGAGGAUCCGAGCGUUAUCCGGAUUUAUUGGGUUUAAAGGGAGCGUAGAUGGGUUGUUAAGUCAGUUGUGAAAGUUUGCGGCUCAACCGUAAAAUUGCAAUUGAUACUG
rnacentral:rRNA from 1 species